rnacentral:rRNA from 1 species
UAACGGCGAGUGAAGCGGCAACAGCUCAAAUUUGAAAUCUGGCCGCAAGGUCCGAGUUGUAAUUUGCAGAGGAUGCUUUUGGCGAGGUGCCUUCCGAGUUCCCUGGAACGGGACGCCAUAGAGGGUGAGAGCCCCGUACGGUAGGACCACCGAGCCUUUGUAAAGCUCCUUCGACGAGUCGAGUAGUUUGGGAAUGCUGCUCUAAAUGGGAGGUGUACGUCUUCUAAAGCUAAAUACCGGCCAGAGACCGAUAGCGCACAAGUAGAGUGAUCGAAAGAUGAAAAGCACUUUGAAAAGAGGGUUAAAAAGUACGUGAAAUUGUUGAAAGGGAAGCAUUCAUGACCAGACUUGGGCUUGGUUGAACAUCCGGCGUUCUCGCCGGUGCACUCUGCCAGUCCAGGCCAGCAUCAGUUUGCCCCGGGGGACAAAGGCGGUGGGAAUGUGGCUCUCUCCGGGGAGUGUUAUAGCCCGCCGUGUAAUGCCCUGGGGCGGACUGAGGAACGCGCUUCGGCUCGGAUGCUGGCGUAAUGGUCAUCAAUGACCCGUCUUGAAACACGGACCAAGGAGUCGUCUUCGUAUGCGAGUGUUCGGGUGUCAAACCCCUACGCGAAAUGAAAGUGAACGUAGGUGAGAGCUUCGGCGCAUCAC